GAUGAACGCUGGCGGCGUGCCUAAUACAUGCAAGUCGAGCGAACAGACGAGGAGCUUGCUCCUCUGACGUUAGCGGCGGACGGGUGAGUAACACGUGGAUAACCUACCUAUAAGACUGGGAUAACUUCGGGAAACCGGAGCUAAUACCGGAUAACAUGUUGAACCGCAUGGUUCAACAGUGAAAGACGGUUUUGCUGUCACUUAUAGAUGGAUCCGCGUCGCAUUAGCUAGUUGGUAAGGUAACGGCUUACCAAGGCAACGAUGCGUAGCCGACCUGAGAGGGUGGUCGGCCACACUGGAACUGAGACACGGUCCAGACUCCUACGAGAGGCAGCAGUAGGGAAUCUUCCGCAAUGGGCGAAAGCCUGACGGAGCAACGCCGCGUGAGUGAAGAAGGUCUUCGGAUCGUAAAACUCUGUUAUUAGGGAAGAACAAAUGUGUAAGUACCUGUGCACGUCUUGACGGUACCGAGUCAGAAAGCCACGGCUAACUACGUG
rnacentral:rRNA from 1 species